ACUCCAAAGCAGCAGGAACUGGGCAAGGAGCAACUAGCUGAUAUAAUGAAACGAACGUUUGCCAAUGGAGAACUCCCCGGUGUGCGCUUCUCCGUGGGACGUGACUUUGGCAAUGUGCAGAACUUUUCCGCACACAGACUGGUAUUGAGCAUUCGAAGCGCCGUGUUCCGUACGAUGUUCCACGGUAGUUUGCUACUUUGCUUGAGAAAUGCGAGGAAGCCAUCGACAUUCUGAUAUUCAGUAUUUGCCAAUCUGCUGAGUUUCAUGUACAUGGACGCAGUUGACCAC